rnacentral:rRNA from 1 species
GCAUGCCUGUUCGAGCGUCAUUACAACCCUCAAGCCUGGCUUGGUAUUGGGCUUCGCCACUAACCUGGCGGGCCUUAAAAUCAGUGGCGGUGCCUCCGAGGCCCUGAGCGCAGUAAAUAUCCUCGCUAUAGGGACCCGGUGGUUACUGGCCAGCAACCCCAACUUUCUAAGUUUGACCUCGGAUCAGGUAGGGAUACCCGCUGAACUUAAGCAUAUCAAUAAGCGGAGGAAAAGAAACCAACAGGGAUUGCCUCAGUAACGGCGAGUGAAGCGGCAACAGCUCAAAUUUGAAAUCUGGCUCUUUCAGGGUCCGAGUUGUAAUUUGUAGACAGCUCUUUGGGUGUGGCUCCGGUNUAAGUUCCUUGGAACAGGACGUCAUAGAGGGUGAGAAUCCCGUAUGUGACUGGCCGCCUUCGCCCGUGUAAAGCUCUUUCGACGAGUCGAGUUGUUUGGGAAUGCAGCUCAAAAUGGGUGGUAAAUUUCAUCUAAAGCUAAAUAUUGGCCAGAGACCGAUAGCGCACAAGUAGAGUGAUCGAAAGAUGAAAAGCACUUUGGAAAGAGAGUUAAACAGUACGUGAAAUUGUUGAAAGGGAAGCGCUUGCAACCAGACUUGCGCGCAGUUAAUCAUCUGGUGUUCUCACUGGUGCACUUUUCUGCGUUCAGGCCAGCAUCGGUUCAGGUGGUGGGAUAAAGGCCUUGGGAAUGUAGCUUCUUUCGGGGAGUGUUAUAGCCCUCGGUGCAAUGCCGCCUUCUGGACCGAGGACCGCGUUGGGUUAGAUGCAGCGUAAGUGAACUACAAAACCCGC